rfam:Recombinant Hepacivirus C SA13fl, complete genome
AUCCCGCUCGUAGGCGGCCCCGUUGGGGGCGUCGCAAGGGCUCUCGCACACGGUGUGAGGGUCCUUGAGGACGGGGUAAACUAUGCAACAGGGAAUUUACCCGGUUGCUCUUU